GCGGGUGUAGUUUAGUGGUAAAACCACAGCCUUCCAAGCUGUAGUCGGGAGUUCGAUCCUCCUCACCCGCU
rnacentral:tRNA from 1 species